CACUCUCUCUGCCUCCUUACCUUAGAUUCCCACCGCGUUACCUUUCACCUUUUCUUUGUUUCCAUUCUUAAAACCCAAAAGGCGAACGACUUUUUCUCCAUUCUGAUGCUCUUCUUCUCUACCACACAAUCAAAACCCAAAGCAAAGAAGUGAGUGAAAAUCUUGAGACCCCACAACCUUUCAUAAAGAAAACACAUCAUCAUUUAGAAGCCAAGAAAGUUUCUCUUGGAAAAAGCUCAAAAACCAUGGAGAGAAGUUCACCUCCGAGGAACACAGAUGAGGAAGGGUUGCUUUCGUGCUGGGGUCGUCUCAAGCUGAAGCUUCCAUGGACAAAAAGAAGAAUAAGAAGUUUGGGCAAUAGCAUAACGGCAGCUUUCAGGGCAAAACAACCAAGACCAGUUGGUGGCUUUAGGUACGACCCUUUGAGCUAUGCUCAAAACUUUGACGAGGGCUAUGGGGAUGAUGAUAUUGAGGGCUCUCUGUAUCGUGGGUUCUCCUCCCGAUAUGCUGCUCCUUCAUCAAGAUCAGUUGCGGACCAGUAAAAUGACUUUGGCCAGACAGUUUGAGUCGUUGAAAUUUGAAACAAAUCUAGUACACUGGACAGCCAUCUACAACUAUGCCUUUGGCAGUUGGACAGGAAGCCAGAUCGCAGUGCUCGCCUUCGGCUCCCCACCAGGAUAUGCUAAUACCUUGCACGGUCAAUGUGAAAUAUAAGAGCACUCCCAUGAAAGCCAGGCCAGCAUCAAGGGCUGCUGAGAGAACAUAGUUGUACCUCUGCCACCAACCUUUCCGGUAUUUAAAAACAUAGUAAUUGAAGAUGACUCCAACGAUAAUCCAGCAAUUGAAGUUCAGUGAUGUCGCUGGUGGCAUUGCCGCUGUUGCUCCCAAGAGCACUGGAAGGUUGAUCAGUGAGAUCCAUUUCUGGUUAGGGAAAGCUUUGUGGAAUAGCCAUACCACGACAGGUCCCAAGGCACCUCCAAGGAAGAACCAGUUCAGAGCGGCGUAGUUUCCAAGAGGACCGAAGAUCCUUUUUGGUCCAACCAGACCCCAGAUAACAGAUGCAUCAUAGAAGACUCGGUCACCAGGACAUGUCCAGGGACUGUUGGGAGGAAGUAGUUGAUCCUGGCAUAUGUUCUCAACGGUAGUCAGCAGCCACCAUGCUACUGCAAGGUUGAUUGUUCCGGCUAUUAUAGUUCCCAUGGCCUUUCAAUAGAACACAAAUAGGAGGAAAGGCAUUAGCAAAAGUAAAGUAACCCUACAAAGGAUCCUGUUCUGUUCUUACAUAAUUUAUCUUAGGAAGCACAAAUUAGUAAGGGGUUUAUUCUUUAUGGUGCUAUAGACACUAGGAUCAGGAAUUAAUUUGAAGCUUUCUUCUUUUAACUUGUCAAAUCUAUCUAUAUUUAUUAUAUUACUAUUAUCUACUUCACUCAAUUGACUCA